rnacentral:rRNA from 1 species
UACCCCAAACCGACACAGGUGGUCAGGUAGAGAAUACCAAGGCGCUUGAGAGAACUCGGGUGAAGGAACUAGGCAAAAUGGUGCCGUAACUUCGGGAGAAGGCACGCUGGCAUGUAGGUGAAGUCCCUUGCGGAUGGAGCUGAAGCCAGUCGAAGAUACCAGCUGGCUGCAACUGUUUAAUAAAAACACAGCACUGUGCAAACACGAAAGUGGACGUAUACGGUGUGACGCCUGCCCGGUGCUGGAAGGUUAAUUGA